rnacentral:rRNA from 1 species
UGGGGAAUUUGGACAAUGGGCGAAAGCCUGAUCCAGCAAUGCCGCGUGUGUGAAGAAGGCCUUCGGGUUGUAAAGCACUUUUGUCCGGAAAGAAAUCCUUGGCUCUAAUACAGUCGGGGGAUGACGGUACCGGAAGAAUAAGCACCGGCUAACUACGUGCCAGCAGCCGCGGUAAUACGUAGGGUGCAAGCGUUAAUCGGAAUUACUGGGCGUAAAGCGUGCGCAGGCGGUUUGCUAAGACCGAUGUGAAAUCCCCGGGCUCAACCUGGGAACUGCAUUGGUGACUGGCAGGCUAGAGUAUGGCAGAGGGGGGUAGAAUUCCACGUGUAGCAGUGAAAUGCGUAGAGAUGUGGAGGAAUACCGAUGGCGAAGGCAGCCCCCUGGGCCAAUACUGACGCUCAUGCACGAAAGCGUGGGGAGCAAACAGGAUUAGAUACCCUGGUAGUCCACGCCCUAAACGAUGUCAACUAGUUGUUGGGGAUUCAUUUCCUUAGUAACGUAGCUAACGCGUGAAGCUGACCGCCUGGGGAGUACGGUCGCAAGAUUAAAACUUAAAUGAAUUGACGGGGUCAUAGCUGUUUCCU